rnacentral:misc_RNA from 1 species
CAUAAAAAUGCACUCAAGUUGAGUGCAUGGUGUGACGAACCGAUAUAACAAAUUUUGAAAUUUUCAAGCAUCCAUAAGUAGUAUUGGCUUAUACACGACUAGCCAUAUUCGCAGAUCUCCUAAACGAAAGCUCUCUCAUUUUUCAAUACGACAUAAAACAAAAAACAGAAUAUUCCUCACCUUACAGCUCUCAAUUAAUAACUACCGAGGUUUAUCUUUAUG